rnacentral:rRNA from 1 species
CCCAGACUCCUACGGGAGGCAGCAGUGGGGAAUAUUGCACAAUGGGCGAAAGCCUGAUGCAGCGACGCCGCGUGAGUGAAGAAGUAUUUCGGUAUGUAAAGCUCUAUCAGCAGGGAAGAAAAUGACGGUACCUGACUAAGAAGCCCCGGCUAACUACGUGCCAGCAGCCGCGGUAAUACGUAGGGGGCAAGCGUUAUCCGGAAUUACUGGGUGUAAAGGGUGCGUAGGUGGCAUGGUAAGUCAGAAGUGAAAGCCCGGGGCUUAACCCCGGGACUGCUUUUGAAACUGUCAUGCUGGAGUGCAGGAGAGGUAAGCGGAAUUCCUAGUGUAGCGGUGAAAUGCGUAGAUAUUAGGAGGAACACCAGUGGCGAAGGCGGCUUACUGGACUGUCACUGACACUGAUGCACGAAAGCGUGGGGAGCAAACAGGAUUAGAUACCCCAGUA